CUACUUGAUGACAUCAAUGGACUGGAGUCUCUGAGUGUAUUUGAAUGACAAUAACCCAUUUAAAGAAUAUUCUUCUUUCCCCGGCUGAUGG